GUGUCCCUGCGCUGUUCGUGAUGCCGGAGGGAAGUUUCAACCUCGUUUACACUACGGGUGUCGAACGCGAGAGUGGUGUGCAAGCCCCUCUUCGAAGGGGAAGCCUGAAGCUCUCCAACAGAGACGCCCACCUGGUCAUACCAGGUUCGAAACACCACGGCACACGGCAGAGGUGGGGACUUU
rnacentral:other from 1 species